ACGCACCCUUUUUUCUAAAAUUAUUAAUUACCCGUGACGGGUCGAUAUAGACAUACACACUGACAAUUUGUGAGGUUCGUUUUAUAUGCAUCGGGUCACCGACUUAACGCCCUUAGCUUAAUAUCAAUUUCUUAACUUGUUUUGUCUGCGGUUAGAAAUGUAUGUACAUAACAAUCGUGAUUUUGAAGUGUAGAAGAUAGCUCACGAAAGACUUCGUGCCAGUUUGUGUUUUAUUUUAUAUCCUACCCACCCGAAUCAGAACAACUGAGUCUAAUGGCCCCAUUUUCCCAAAAGAAUGAAUCAAGUUAACUUAAAAGCUUUAAAAAUAUUUUCGCAAGAUUCAGGAGCUGACAGCUAGGCGGUGAACACAUUAAUCAUUUCAAAACAAUAAUUAAAUGCUUCAAAAGCGGUCUCUUCUGUACCCCCACUGAGAUGAGACAACACUUGCCGACACUAAGCACCUUUGCCUGGUAUUUAUUUCCUUUUCCAUUUGGUAUUGAGAAAUGCUUUCCGUACUUGAGAUUGACCACGAACAAUCCAUGGGGUAGCGACCUCACCGCGCGUAUUUCUGUCAAUCUAUUACAAACUCCUCUGGCAUCUUUGAACGACACUUGCCGACACUAAGCACCUUUUCCUGGUAUUUAUUUCCUUUUCCAUUUGGUAUUGAGAUAUGCUUUCCGUACUUGAGAUUGACCACGAACAAUCCAUGGGGUAGCGACCUCACCGCGCGUAUUUCUGCCAAUCGAUUACAAACUCCUCUGGCAUCUUUGAGGAAUUUAGCGCGUGGCCGUUUCUUCGUUGGGAGUCUUGUACCCAGACAGAGCUGGUGAAUAUUCCCAACUCAUUUUUAAGAUUCGCAUGAUAUAUCAAUAUAACUGGGUUGACUGAUGGAGGAAAUGCCGGAACCAAGAGCAUAAAUAUUGCAACAGGACUUGCUUCAUUUCUCUCAAUACAGGAGAAGAACUGGGGAGGCUGGCUUGCUUUUGUUAGAAUUUCGUGAGAGGUCUGGUAGCUAGUACUAGUAGUAUCGCCGCCAUAUUGAAAGUGGUAGAGAGUUUUGAGCGUUUGUAGGAUCGUCAGUAGUUAAUUUGGGCUAUUAAUACGUUGAGGCAGAUAAGCAAGCCUUCUCAAUUUUAUUAACGUGUAUGGAAGGGAGCUGAGAGCGCUGUUUCUUCAUGAAUAUGUCACGAACUGUUCUGCCCCAUCCAAGCAAAGUCCAUGUAUUUCUGUCUAAGCUUAUGGGUGGGACAAUGGUUUUCUGGAUGCUGUGGAGAG